AUGGUUCGUGGUGACCGCGAUGCUCCCCGCCGUCCGGGUCGCCCUCGUGGAAACCAUCUUGGCGUUCUUGGUCAUGCCUGUGGUGGUUAUGUUGAUUGGCGGAAUGGUUUUGCAUAUGCCGAAAAUCUUGGUGGGUGCGCUGCCGAGCUGCCGUGCUGCCCGACGAGUGACAUGGGGCACCAGCCGAGUCCGAGCAGCCCGGCCGCUCCGACGAAGAGGCCGUGUUUGCGGUGGCCGCAGUCGAUGGUGACGCCCUGCACUGACGUUUUGUCCUCGAAGGUAGUAAUUCUGGAUGCUGAAGCUGCUGAUGAGGAUCCAGUCGCACCUCAUGGCAAUCCACAUCCAGUGCCACAACAAGCCAAUUUACAUCAAAAUCAACACAAUCAUUUCCUAGGUCCUCCGCGACAACAUGAGCAUGAUGACCAUGAGGCACCUACUCCAUCACAAGUCCCACAAGUGAAUCUUCAGUUGUCACUUAAUGCAGCUGCUAAUAAUGAUCCAGUCUUGCAUGAAGAGGAUAAUAUGGAGGAAGAAGAAAAGGACCCAUUACCAGGGUGGGGCCAUUGGGCUAUGCCACGAGAAGCAGACAUGGAAAUUCAGGCAGGAUAA
rnacentral:rRNA from 1 species